GGGGAGUACGGCCGCAAGGUUAAAACUCAAAUGAAUUGACGGGGGCCCGCACAAGCGGUGGAGCAUGUGGUUUAAUUCGAUGCAACGCGAAGAACCUUACCUGGUCUUGACAUCCAGGUGCUGCAUGGCUGUCGUCAGCUCGUGUUGUGAAAUGUUGGGUUAAGUCCCGCAACGAGCGCAACCCUUAUCCUUUGUUGCAACUCAAAGGAGACUGCCAGUGAUAAACUGGAGGAAGGUGGGGAUGACGUCAAGUCAUCAUGGCCCUUACGACCAGGGCUACACACGUGCUACAAUGGCGCAUACAAAGAGAAGCGACCUCGCGAGAGCAAGCGGACCUCAUAAAGUGCGUCGUAGUCCGGAUUGGAGUCUGCAACUCGACUCCAUGAAGUCGGAAUCGCUAGUAAUCGUGGAUCAGAUGCCACGGUGAAUACGUUCCCGGGCCUUGUACACACCGCCCGUCACACCAUGGGAGUGGGUUGCAAAAGAAGUAGGUUACCACUUUGUGAUUCAUGACUGGGGUGAAGUCGUAACAAGGUAACGAA
rnacentral:rRNA from 1 species